AAAAAUCUAAAAGGUUAAAUGUUGAAUUUGAUAUUUAAUGUCAAGCUCCAUUAAUUUAUUAGAAGAACAUUUACAUAAAAACAUGCCCUAUAGGCUAUAGAUAAGAAAGGAGCCUCAAAUACCGCAUUAGCUCUUAUUUUAGUGUAAGAUAUUUUACUACAUACACACAUAUUAUUAUGGCCUUGUUCAAUUGCAUGCUUGCAACGAGAGAUUGCCAUUACAAGAUUACACACAUAGAGAUAGUACCGACAUUGUUGUCCAAAAAUCCGGCGUUGUUAGGGUUAGCACCAUAUCUUAUGUUGGAGUGGGAGUCGGAGUCGAAAAAUCGGGCAUUGUUAGGGUUUGCACCAAAUCUUAUGUUCGAGUUGGAGUUGGCAAAUCCUGCAACAUCCUCCUCCGAGAUGUUAGUUCUGAUUUUAGCGUGGCCCGUGUUGUUCACACCAAAUCUUUUGUUGGCAAGUCCCUUUAAGUAGUCAACGUCCUCCUUCGAGAUCUUAGCUCUGAUUUUAACGAGGCGUGGGUCGUACUCAUCAAUUCUUUUGUUGGAGUUGGCAAAUCCCUUCAAGUAGUCAAAGUCCUCCACAGAGAUCUUAGCUUGGAUUGUAGCAAUGCGCGAUUCGUCCACAUCAAAUCUGUUGUUGAAGUUGGAGUUGGAAUAUCCCCUCAAUUGAUGAUCGCCCUUAGCUUCGAUUUCAAUGCUCCCACCCCGAAUUCCAACAAAUUUGUGGUUGUUAUUUUUAAGAUAGGGUUUGGGGUUGAUUUCAUCGUCCCAACCCCUAAACCUUAAACAGCCUUGGUUGCAGAAGUUGGUUUGAUCUUGAUUCGACGUCAUUGUCUGUCUCACUGAUAAGUUUUUAGGUUAUGGUGUGUGUUUGCUCUGAUGAUCAACUCAUUGCCUCAUGGUUGGUCUCCUUUUAUAGUUAUUUGAAUGUGCAAAAGCAGAAGAUAUUUUAUAACAGCCGAUACCCUGAGCAUAAUACAGAUUCUAUAUUGAUCAAAUUCUAUACAUUUUAUCUUCUUGGAAUAAUAUUCUACAGUGACAGAUAGUACAGUCGUAGUGGCCUUUCUUAUUAGAGGAUCUUUUUAACUUCUUUGGCAAUACAUCUCAUUCAAGUUACUGAUGACUAUCUCUAUAUGUACAGUCAGCAGGCUUCACAUGUUAGUUGUUAGAAACUGUUAAGAGUUUGUUAGUAGCUUACUUAAGCUUUCAGUAAGCAUACUAUAAGUAUGCUAAUGUAUACUGUAAUUCAUUCUUAACAAAUAUGCAAAUCAGAAUAUACAUCUUCUUCUUUGAUUUAUCUCUGCCUUCUCUCUACUUUCUUUAGCUUCCUUCAAUUCUAGUCUGAAAAUACCUGUAGGAUAUCUAUAUAUGCCUGCAGAAAGUUAAACAAGCUAAUUCGAAUUUUUUGCAAUAAAUAACGAUCAACCUUUGAAGCAGUAUUGAUAUUAGUUAUCAAUCCUAAGAUGUGCAAAGCUUAAAAUAAAAGAACACGCAGAGAAUUAUUUUACGUGGUAAAACCCCACAUCUGGGGAAAAUCCACGGGACUCCUCAGUCCAACUCAAAUCCACUAUAGAACGAUGAUUACAAGAAGUACUCACACACUUAUCCUAGACUCAUUCUAGAUAAUGUUUACCGACUUCUUCGUAACUCAACUUCUGUCACGGGAUGAUCUUCGACACUCCUUAUGUUGAACACAAUACUGGCCACGAUUGCUUCAAGCUCGCAGGAGGAAAACCGCCACCACGGUCUUGGUGCACUCAACCGUAUGAGUCACCGACAUGCAUAUGAAUGCAAUAUGAAUGAUUAAAGUGUUUGAUAAAUCACCAAGUAAACAUGGAACACUUGAUGAUUUAUCUCAAAUAUGUGCACAACAGCUUUUGCUUAAGAAUUCUAUAUGCUCAACCCAUAUCGAAAAGUCUCGAAAAAACCAAAGAGAUGCAAGCUGCUUUUAUUCAAAGCUUCCUAUACCUAGUCAGAUCAGAUCACACGAGUACCAAACCCACUUCAAUUAUAACUAUAAACUUUUAGCUUAAUUUGGACUCUUAUGAAGACCACAAUUGGUUUUCCAACAUGAAUACAAGUUCAAUAUGGAUUCUUAUUGAAAAACGCCAACCAAUCAAUUUUUAAUAGAAAAACAAUAUCUAUUAAACCAAUAUCUAUUAAAACAAAAAAACUCAAACUAGGAAUCCUAUAAUGAAUGCAUGAUUAUGUCAUGAUUUACCUGAAAUUAAGUUUCUCAUAUCGGUCAAGUCAAGCCUCGGAUGUAUGGGGUUGAAUGAGUUGUGCCAAAACGUCCAGUAACAAUUCUUCACACACUAAUUUUCAACCUAUGAUAGAGUCUAGGAAAUGACAAUACAAUUUUCAUACUAACAAUCUCCCCCUUUGGCAUUUCCUAGACAAAACACCUAUUACAACUCAAAAGAAAUUACAUGGGAUUCAACAAAUGAAAUCCUACUCUAAACUCAAGGCUCUGAAUCCCUGCACAUUAUGAAACAACAAAACCAGUGAAGCAUGUGGGAGAAGAAAUGUAAUUCAAGGCAAAAUUACAACACCACUCCCCCUUAAUUCUACAACACAAUCUCUCCCCCCUUUUAUUAUAAUUUCACAAUCAUCUCUUCCCCUUUUUGUCAGGAAAUCCAAAGAGCAAGGAAAGAGUACAAGGGAGCAUAUAUAAAGGCAAAAAUAAGAGGAAAAAUUCAGUUGUGCCACAAGUCUGCAACUGGCAGGAUUGAUAAUGAAGCUGCAAUCCUCAGGUUCAAUUUAUCAUGUAUCCGUCUUAGUAACAUGAAGGAAAGCCUAACUGCACAAUUAAACAAGAAGUAAAAACCUACACUAUGUUUGAAAACAAAAACAAAUUCGUUUUUUUAUUUUUUUUUAUUUUUAAAAUGUAAAAGAUAAAGCCACUGAAUAAAAAAAACUGAAAAAUAUAUAUACAUAGAUAAGCCACACUUAGAAAAGAGACAAAACCACAAAGACAUCAAUCAAAACAUCAAUUACUAUGCUUAAUAAGAACCCAAGACUCCUCCUUCAUUCAUGCCAAAAUUUUUUUUGAGUACAUGCCAACACUAUGCAUAAGAAUAGACAAGCAAAGUCAAUACCAAUAUCUAUCUAGAAGCAUUUGGAAGCAAAGCCUUUCAAGAUCGAAGGCACAUCAAAUCACAAAGGUUUAAUCAAAUACUAGGAUUAUAAAAUGGGAAUCAAAAGUAUUUGUAAGAGAUAAAGUCCAUCAAAAGAGCAAAUAUUAAAUCUCAAUCUCGUGUUAUGUGACCAAACUUACUUAAUAACAAAGAAAAAAUCCAAUCAAGAGCAAGCCAAGAACAUAGAAUAAACACAUACAAAAUGCAUACAGAGGUCACCACUUUCAUUUUUUCCCUUUUUUUUUAAAUUUUAUUUAUUUAUUUAUUUUUUUUAAUGCUAACUUUAUUAAGCUUUCUACAAGACUCAUGUAACGGGUGUUAAAUCAAUGUGCUCAAAUCAGAUGACUUUAAGACAAUGGGUGUUAAAGCACCCCUAGGAUGUGCUAACCCGAGUCAUGUAGGCUACAAAGAAGAACAAAGUGUAUAAGAUCAAAGCUUUUUGACGCGAGCCUCGACGUUGGUUAGACAAGAGGCCCGGUUACUUGGCAAGGAUCAAACACUUAUUUUACUUUUCUUUUAAUUAAAGAGAUGUUACAAAAAUGUGAGCUCAGUAGCAAAAAGUAUAAUGCAAAUCUAGUAUCAAGACAAGGGCAAGAUGAGGAUUCAUUCAAAAUUAUUAAACAAGAUUAGAGUGUAUGUGCUAAAUGAGAGACAUGAGAUAUAAUAUAAAGAGCAUUUAAUUGACUUUAUAAAAAACAAAGACAGUCGAGAACCAUUCACAUAAACCCAAUCUUAAUCUGCCCAAUGUGAUCCAACGCCAAAAAUCCAGUCUAAGAUCAGCAAAAACUUCCAGAGGUCAGUAGGAUUGAUAUAGCUUAUCAAUCCCUGCAUGUGCUGAACAAAAUACUUAGAAUUUAAACAAAUUUCAAAAACUGAUAAGAGAAUAGCUGGAGUCUUUUGGCAUGCAUGCAAACAAUUAUUCAAAAGAACAAAUACCUAAAGAUUUUCUAAGAGUGUCAAAUCGAAGAUUAUCCAAGGGUUUUGCAAUAAGACAUUUAAGAUCCAAAUUUUCUAAAGCAACGGGUUCAUGCACAACAUUAGUGGAGGCAAACAUACAAUUAUGAUUUUCCUUUUUCCUCCACACUAACUUUGUCUUAGUUGACGGCAAACAAUGAAAAGAAGAUAGUUUAGAUAAGCGGUUUACCUCUUUCAUAAGAUUUGAAAUCUUAUGUUGGAUGCUUACUUUUCCACCCAUGCCAUGAGAAUUUGAAUGAACAAAUUCAUUUCGAAGCUUAUUGCAUCUUGGUCUUAUGUGCCCACGAGUUCCGCAAAAGUGACAAAUUGGAAUAAAUUUUUUGACUUCAUGAGCGGCAGAAGGUUCAAUAGGUGAAGUAGAUUUGACAAACUUUGUUUUAGACACAGCGGAAGACUUAUUACUUGGUUGAAAUCCCAAGCCUCGUUUGUCACCAUCUCUUCGUCCCAUGCUAAUCAUCUUGUCAAUUUUUUCUGCACCAAUGGUUAAAGAAACAAUCCUUUCCUUUGAAUUUUUAAGUUCAAGUUCAAGGGCUUUGUUGUCAGAAGUUAGAGAAGCAAUUAAUUUAUUCUGAUCAGUCAAUUUUUUCUACAAAAACAUCAAUUUUUCGUUCAUACCUGCACUUACCUUUUCGGAAUCUGCAUCAGGGGAUUGAAACUCGUUUGCAAUCCUGCAAUUUUCCAGCUUCAGCACAGCAACUUCUUUACAAUCAUCAUCCUCAUGUGAUUCAUCCAAGCUAACUGUGGUUAUGAGUGCAACCAUCUUUUCAUCAUUCUCGCAUUCCGAUUCACUAUCACUUCAAGUAGUAUGCAUUGCCUUAUUCUUGCCAUCCUUUUGUUUCUUUAAGGUGUUGGCACAUUCCGAAGAUAUGUGUCCAUAGCCUUCACAUUCGAAACAUUGGACCUUUUCUCUUGGAUUCUUUCGUUCAUUUGACCUGCGAAAUUUAGACCUACCAUCAGUAUAGUUAACAAACCUAUUUUUAGAAUUUAUACCUUUUGAAUCUCGACUCCUUGGAUCCUGAUUCUUAAGAAAGUUCAUGAAUCGUCUUGUGAGAAUCAUUAAUUCCUCAUCACUGCAAUCUUCAUUUGAAUGCCCAUCAUCUUCUUCAUUCACAACCUUGAAAGCAACAUUUUUGCUCUUUUUAGGAGCUAGAUGUUUCAUCUCAUAGGUUUGUAUGGACCCUAUGAGUUCUUGAACUUUCAAGGUGUUCAAGUUGCGGAUCUCUUCAAUAGCCGUGAUCUUUGGUUGAAAUCGUUGAGGCAAGGAUCUCAAAAUCUUUUUCACAACCCUGUCUUCUGGAAUUUUUUCACCUAAACUUGAACAAGCAUUCACAAUUACACACAGUUUAGCAUAAAAUUCAGAAAAAGUUUCAUUCUCAUCCAUCAUGAGUGUCUCAAACUGUAAAGUAUGCAUUUGAAGCUUGGCUCCCUUGACAGUAUCUGUUCCUUCAUGAGUAACCUGCAAAAUAUCCCAAGCUUCCUUAGAAGUAUCACAACCAGAUAUAUAUUCAAAUUGAUCUGAAGAGACAGCAGUAAAUAAAGCAUUUAACCUAUUUUGAUUAUUAGUGCUGUGUGUGACUUCUGCAGUGGUCCACUCCUCUCUAGCUUUGAGGAUUGUGGUUUCUUCAUCUCAUUUUCCGAUCUUCUUUGUGGGUUUAGGAAAUCCAUGAACCACUGUACUCCAUACACGUUCAUCUAAGGACCAAAGAAACGACUUCAUUUUGGCCUUCCAAGCGCCAUAGUUGUUGCCAUCAAAAUAUGGUGGAUGUGCAAUUGAGCCCGAUGCACGAUCCAUCCUAAGGUAUAUUAGAUCUUACUGAGUAUGUCCAGCAACCUGCUCUGAUGCCAAUUGAAAAUACCUGUAAGAUAUCUAUAUAUGCCUGGAGAAAGUUAAACAAGUUAAUUCGAAUUUUUUGCAAUAAAUAACGAUCAACCUUUGAAGCAGGAUUGAUAUUAGUUAUCAAUCCUGAGAUGUGCAAAGCUUAAAAUAAAAGAACACGCAGAGAAUUAUUUUACGUGGUAAAAUUCCACCUCUGGGAAAAAUCCACGGGACUCCUCAGUCCAACUCAAAUCCACUAUAGAACGAUGAUUACAAGAAGUACUCACACACUUAUCCUAGACUCAUUCUAGAUAAUGUUUACCGACUUCUUCGUAACUCAACUUCUGUCACGGGAUGAUCUUCGACACUCCUUAUGUUGAACGCAAUACUGGCCACGAUUGCUUCAAGCUCGCCGGAGGAAAACCGCCAUCACGGUCUUGGUGCACUCAACCGUAUGAGUCACCGACAUGCAUAUGAAUGCAAUAUGAAUGAUUAAAGUGUUUGAUAAAUCACCAAGUAAACAUGGAACACUUGAUGAUUUAUCUCAAAUAUGUGCACAACAGCUUUUGCUUAAGAAUUCUAUAUGCUCAACCCAAUAUCGAAAAGUCUCGAAAAAACCAAAGAGAUGCAAGCUGCUUUUAUUCAAAGCUUCCUAUACCUAGUCAGAUCAGAUCACACGAGUACCAAACCCACUUCAAUUAUAACUAUAAACUUUUAGCUUAAUUUGGACUCUUAUGAAGACCACAAUUGGUUUUCCAACAUGAAUACAAGUUCAAUAUGGAUUCUUAUUGAAAAACGCCAACCAAUCAAUUUUUAAUAGAAAAACAAUAUCUAUUAAACCAAUAUCUAUUAAAACAAAAAAACUCAAACUAGGAAUCCUAUAAUGAAUGCAUGAUUAUGUCAUAAUUUACCUGAAAUUAAGUUUCUCAUAUCGGUCAAGUCAAGCCUCGGAUGUAUGGAGUUGAAUGAGUUGUGCCAAAACGUCCAGUAACAAUUCUUCACACACUAAUUUUCAAUCUAUGCUAGAGUCUAGGAAAUGACAAUACAAUUUUCAUACUAACAUAGUCUUUGUGAAAUCUUUGAUCUGUCCUCAGUUACUACUGUGUGCAGAUUGUUAAACCUCAGUAAUGGGGUAGCUAAUGUUUUACAAGGACUUCAAGGCUUGUUUUGUAAGUUUUUUUUUUUUUUUCUUCCAAACAAUGGAGAAGGGAAGGGAGCUCUUCUAACAGUGAGAAGAGCAAUGCAACUUGGUUGAUAGCUUGAAAGAUGGAUGGUGGGAAGUCGAACUAGUAACUCCUAUAACUUCAAGGACAAUCCAUUCUUAUGAUAUUGCAUUUUCAAAAAAGUUGAAAGCACUAUCAAUUGAAUUCGAUAAGGAUAAUGAAGUUGACAUAGCUUUUCAGAGACAGAUUCUAUAUUGAUCAUAAUAUUCACAUAUUAAAUUCGAAUUCCAUAUAUAUAUGUAUAAUGAAGUUGAUACAUCUUUCGGAAAGGAUAGAUCCAUAUCUAAUAUAUUUCUCAUUGAAGUUACUACUUUAGGUUAUCAAUACUGAUUAGAAUCUUUCUAUCAUAUCAAGAAUUCUCCACUUAUUUCGUGAGUGGUUCUUAUGUGGAUGGUGGGAAGGUUAAUUAGCUUUGUGAGUAGUUUCAAAAUUCCUUGUCACACUCGGGAGCCAGAAUAGGGGAAAAGUAUGUGUCCUAUGCCUGAUGAUAAAGUAAAUAACAACUUAAAACCAAAAGAUCAACUUUCUUAUAGAAUAACCAAAAACAUAUAUAAAAACAUGAUAUACACUUAUGCUAUAACUUCAGCUCGCCUAACCCUCUAGAGAAAAUGUCCCAUAUUGGAAAACUAAUAAAUCUUGAAAGGAUUUAUAAGGAGUUGAACUACUCGUCAUUGCCAAUUGACUUUGGGGUGAAAGAACGAUUAGACACUUGAAAUUCUACAAUUGUCAACAAAUUCAUAGCUUUGUCCAACCAUGCAAUAAUAGAUUGUAUACUCAACAAAUUCAAAUAGUACCAAAGAUGCGUACCUUGUUUCUUGCAUGCCCUUCUACAAUAUCCUUUAAAAAGAGUACCGAAGAUGCGAUUAAAAGAAAUAAAGGAAGGGAACCUUUCUUAGUUCGGAUUUCUAAUAUUCACUUCUUCUUUUAUUCCAUAUAUACAAAGAGUACCGAAGAUGCGUACCUUGUUUCUUGCAUGCCCUUUUACAAUAUCUUUUAGAGCAAGGCCAGCGCACCCAACAAACUGGGCCAAAGGCAGCCCGAGAGAAGGAAGACCAGCUCCAGCGCGGAAGGAGAAGCCCGGGCAAGGCGUGGGUCCCACCAGCCCGGGCAGGCCCAAGGGCGAAAUCAGACUGGGCUCGAGCCCGAGUUGGAUGACGUCAUCACUGACGUCACGAUGACGUCAUCCAACCCCAGUGUCCAACGGUAACCUGCCACGUGUCAACACCGGGUGGCUCCGAUUGGUUUUUUUCCAGAAAUCCUACGGUUCUCAUUUUUUUGGCCAAAAAAAUUUAAAAAAUAUCCUAAAAAAUCCGAAAAAAUUCUGAAAUUUUUUUAAAAAAAAUACCAAAAAAGUAUGUAUUUUUUCCCUAUAAAUACCUAACCAUUUUAUCUACUUUCAACACCAAAUCUUCAUACAAUUUCUUCUCCAUACAAUAUUUUCUACUCUCCACUCACAUUAUUCAUUUUCCACACCAAUUCUCCAUACAAACUCAUCUCCUUCCAAUAUUUUUUACUCUCUACUCAUAUUUUCCACUUUCCACACCAAUUCCAUACAAACUUUUCUCCUUCCAAUAUUUUUUACUAUCCACUCACAUUUUUGUACUACUUUCCAUUUGUAGAAAAUAAACAAAUGGCAUCUUCUGUCGAAAUCGGAGGCUCGUGGUCAACCCAGGAAGAUAUUGCGUUAUGCGAGUCUUGGGUGAACGUUAGUCAUGACCCUAUCACGGGCAAUGAGAUGAAGUUCCAUCAUAUGUGGAGCAAAAUUCAUGGAGAAUUUUGUCAAAGAUCGGGUUCCAUUCGGACCGAAAUGGCUUUGUCUAGUAGAUGGAAACUUCUAAACAAAGAGUUAGGGAAAUGGAGAAAUGCCUUGACAAAAGCAAAGGACAACAUUCGGAGCGGUGCGAAUCUUUCCGAUGAGGUAAAAUAUUUUUAAUUGUCAUUUUAAUCAAUUUAAUGUAACUUUUUUUUAUUGCAUAUUCUAUUUCUUUUUGUUGCACAAUGUUUAUUUUAUUUUUGCAUUUCCUAAUUGGCUUUAUUUAUUUACAUAAUCAAUUUUAUUCUUGCAUUUCAAAUAUGUUUAUAAUUUCAUGCAUAAUCUUUAUUUUUUGUUUUUGCAUUUUCAAUUUGUCUAUAUUUAUUUACAUAAUCAAUUUUAUUCUUGCAUUUCAAAAUAGUUUAUAAUUUCUUGCAUUGUAUAUUUUUUUAAUGCACUUCCAAUUAUUUAUUUUGAAUAGAUCAUACAAGCACAAAUGUGGUUCGGUGCCAUGGGACAAGGGAAAAAAAGUUUUGUGCAUUUCCAAUGUUGGGAAAUUGUCAAGGAUUGUUCCAGAUUCAAAAUUAUUCUUACCGCACCCCCGGUUGUGUUGCAUGAGACGCCGCUCCACGAAUCGCCAUUAACCGAUUCACCAUUGGACUCCCCAAUGGAAACGGAGUCACCACUCCCACGUCCGCCGAGACCUAUUGGGAGAAAGGUGGCAAAGGCCAAGAGAGGGGGCACUUCGAACAUUGAUUGUGUUCAAAUAUUCGAGCAAAUAGCUAAGAACAACUCUCUAAGAUUGGAGAGAGACUUGAGGAGAGAUGAAGCGGACAAGGCACGAUUGGAAGCCUUUGCAAUUGAAAAGCAACAUGCAAAAGAAAAAGACGACGAUGAAAAAGAGAUGAAAAUCAUGGCCAUGGAUACGAGCCAUAUGUCUCCUGAAACAAAGGCCUAUUGGAAGCAUAAACGAAGGGAUGUGAUGAGAAGAAAACUUUUCCAUGACGACGGACCUAGCAAUACGGAUUGGCUAAAUGAUGAAAACCAUUAGAUUGUAUUGUUGUAUUUUUUUAUAAUUGUUUUUUAAAUUGUUGUAUUAUCCUUUAAUUUGUUGUAUUGUUUCUUUUUUAUUCAAUCAAAAAAGCAUUCUAUAAUUGGACUACUUAUUAAAAACAUUUGAGCAUUCCUCACAAAGAUUAAUUAAAAACAAACCUUCAUUUAUUGCAAACAACACACAAAACAAACCAUACAUAAAAGCAUAAUAAUAAAAAAGACCUCGCAAUAAUUCCACAAAACACAACACACAAAAACAAAGCAUGAUUAAAAAAAAGCAUAAAUCCAAACAAAGCACAAAUCUAGCCUUCAUCCAUUGUGAUUGCCUUUCAUCUGCCACAAGUGCUCGAUCAAGUCAACUUGACGUCUUUCGUGAACAUAUGAAGAUUGCAUUUCUUGAUAACGAUCAAUCAUGGGGUUGUUGAAUCGACCAUCCUGAAGUAACGGUUCGGGCUCCAAUGGUAGUCCAUUUGGUCCUAUCGGCCUUUCAUAUAUUCUUGUCAACGCCGUGUUCAUAGGAUCGGGUUCAAACACCUCUGGAGCAUCGUAGUCAUACUCAUCCUCCACAAUCAUGUUGUGGAGGAUGAUGCAAGUCAUCAUAAUACUCCUCAGCACCUCCUCGUCUAGCAUCCGAGCAGCACCCCUGAUAAUUGCCCAACGAGCUUGCAAGAUACCGAAACACCUUUCCACGUCUUUCCUGUAACCUUCUUGAAAGGAAGCAAAGCUUCUUUCCUUCUCGGAUUGGGGAUUCGGAAUUGUUUUCACGAAUGUCGUCCACCUAGGAUAAAUUCCGUCGGCAAGGUAGUAGGCCCCAGAGUAUAUGGUAUUGUUGAUUUGGUAUAUGACCUGAGGGGAAUGACCUCGCAAUACCUCAUCGAACACCGAGGAUUGACCAAGGACAUUGAGGUCAUUCUGAGAUCCGGCAACCCCAAAAAAGGCAUGCCAAACCCAAGUGUCGAAUGAAGCUACGGCCUCCAAAAUGAUACUUUUUUGGCCCUUCCGAUUCCCAUACUCUCCUUGCCACGCAGUAGGACAAUUCUUCCACUGCCAAUGCAUGCAAUCAAUGCUUCCGAUCAUUCCUGGGAAACCUCGAGCCUCGCCUUUUUGUAGAAGCCUUUGCAGGUCCCUCGGAGUGGGUUUGCGAAGGUACUCCCUCGUGUACAAAUUUUCCACUGCAUCACAGAAUCUCACCAAGCACUCUAGGAUAGUAGAUUUUCCCAUCCUUGCAAUCUCAUCCACCUGCUCUGCAGAUGCCCCAUAAGCAAGCAUCCGCAAAGCAGCUGUAAGUUUUUGCUCCGGGAUAAGACCCAAAACUCCAACAGCAUCAUGCUUUUGAAUGAAGUAUGUGUCGUAAUUACAAAUAUCAUGCAUGAUUUUUUGGAACAAAUGUGGCUGCAUUCUAUAUCUCUCUCGAAACUUAUGAGCAGGAUAUAACGAAUUUGGGAUAAAGUAAUCCUCCAAGAGAUUCUUACCCCGAGACUCUCUGCGUCUGUCCACAUUCGGGGCACGACGACGAUGGUGUUGGCUUGAUUGAUUCAUCAUACACACCGCCGCUACUUCAAGCAUUUCUUCCUCUUCUUCAUCGGCGUCCCGAUCUUCUUCCUCACGUCUACGCCGGAUUUCUUCCCAUUCUUUCUGUUGCCUCUCCAACACCCUCCUGAAGUUUGACAUUGAGAGUAUAAUGGGAAAUUGUAAAAUCUGAGAAAUGAAGGAAUAUAUCAGAGAUGGUGUGAGAGGAGUGGUGUUGAUGGUGUAGUUAUAUAGAGGGAUUCAGAAGAUAGAGAUGACACGUGGCACAAUUUUAGAGGGUGAAAAUCUUAUCUGAAAUCUGAGAUCACUAUUUGUAAAAAAAUAUCUGAAAAUCUUAUCAGACAUGGGACACGUGGCACAAUUUUAGAGGGUGAAAAUCUUAUCUGAAAUAUGACAUUAUAAUUUUUUUAAAUUAUCUGAAAAUCUUAUCUGACAUGGGACACGCGGCACAAUUUUAGAGGGUGAAAAUUUUAUCGGAAAUCUGAGAUUAUAAUUUUUAUUAAUGAAUAUCCGAAAAUUUUAUCUGGAAUAAGACACGUGGCAACCGAGAUUCACAUCCGAAAAUCUUAUCCGAAAAUUUAAUUACAAAAAAUUAUCAAAAUUAAUGAUUUAAAGUAUUAAAAAAAUAGGAAAUAAAGUACAAUGAAUAGUAAUUGCCCUAGACUUGCCCUAGACUUUGCCCUUGUGGGUGGAACCACAAAUGGCAAGGCUGACACUAUUCACGUGAAUAGUGUCAGCCCUUGCUUGCCCUUGCCUUAGACUUUGCCCUAAGGGGUGGAGUUGCUCUUAACGUGAUCAAAAUCUUCCUCUUGACAUCUCUGUUUUGAGAUUUCCGAGGAUAGAGAUUAUAAUAUCGGUGAGCCCCUCAAUGGAAAUCCAAUCCUUGUUAAUAGAAUUCUCUGGCAUAACAUUUUGCAUUUGGCUUAAGGCAUCUAACAUGGACGUCUCAACACCUGAUAACAACUUUGCCUUGGAAGAUCUUAUCUUGAGGCAGUAAUUAAGUUCUCUCCACUCUUCUAUUGAUUGCCACAAUGGAAGGUUACCUCUCCAUGAAGUAUCUUCAAGAACCUCAUGUGUUUCGAUGACUAACUAAUUUGAUCCAACGGUUAAGAGAUAGAAAGUGCCAUAUAUAAGGACCUCACUAUAGAAUUCUUGCCCUUAGCCAACUCCUCCUAUAUCAAAACCUACUGGCUAGGCAAAACCCCCUCAGACUAUUAGGAAAGAUGCCUUUGGUUCAUUGAUAAACAAAUGUCAUGAUUCUUCUGGUGGGCGAAAGAGAGUCAACAACGAUAUAAAAGAUCCUUAUCUACAUUUUUCCAGCUACAAAUGUAUAUUAACUUUUUAUUUUUAAUGAAAUGGCGAGGGAAAUUCAAUCUUGGGAUAUGUCAAAAUAAUAUUAUUAAGACCUAGUUGGUAUUGACUAUUUGAUGUCGGAUAUCAAAUUAUAAAUGCAAAGUUACAUUGUGUACUUUUAUUAAGUACGUGGAAUGUACAUUGUGACUUUAUGCAACCUACUUUGGGUAGUGGUUUGGAACAAUUGAGUUCUAACAUUUAUAUAGUGUGCGUGAACUUAAUAUAUUAUUGUUCCUAGAAAAGGUCCUUUAAAAAAAAAAAUCCUAACAAAAAUCAUUAUUGCAUCCAAUAUAAAUAGUUUUUAACCAAUCAAUAAGGCACAAUAAAGCCAGAUAUUGAAAUCCACCUUGCUAUUUUACAUACUCACUCAAGCACAACUCAGAUAUUGUAAAAUACUAACAUCUUUGGCCACUUUUCAAAUACAUCCACGCUUUUAUGAUAUUUGUUGAUGCUCUUUUUGGGGAGGUCAACUUAGAUAAAGGUAGAAUGAUGGAUGAUGUGUGAAGAUGUUGGCCUUUAGUAUGUGUGUGAAAAUUUGGACAAGAGAUAGAUAUAAAGAAGACUAGAUAUACGUUCACCCUUAAUGAAUGGGCUACGUCCACGGAGAAGUAUGUUCUCAUUAUAAUAAUGUAUGAUUAUAUUUGUACAUGGGGUUGGACUCAAAUAUAAAGAUAAGAAGGAUAAGCCCAUGAUUAAAGAUAAAGCCCAGCCCAGGGAUCUAGAAGAGAGUCUCUCUCUCAGGGGAGAGUAGUCUUCUUUUAUAGGUGAAAGGGAGUCUCCAUCUCUUGUAGUUUUCCGAUGUGGGACUCAUCUUGCUUCGCUUAGAGUUGUGACUUGUGGUAAUGCUUCUUUGGCUAAGGUGAUGACCUCUCAAGGCAUGGCACGUGGAUGAUCUAGCCUAGCUAGUUGCUCGGUCAGUUACGAUACCAAUAGUAGUCCCCCAAGUUCGCAAGUAAGAAGAUACUUCUUGAUUGGGGACUUGUAAUUUUAAGUGCAUUGGCCGAGCAACACUAUAGUUCAUCUUCCAAGCUGCAUAGUGCACUGCCCAUAGUCCCCCAAGUCCUAGGUAAGAAUGACAUUUGGAAGGGAGAUAACUUGGCACGAAGGUGCCGAAGGUGAAGGGGUUGUCGAAGGCACAAAGUUGCAUGUCGCAGGGUGAUGUGGCUAGGCACGAGAGUGCCAAAGGCAUAAGAAUUGCAUGUCCCAAGACGAUGGGCCUAGGCACUAGGGUGCCGAAGGUGACACAAAGCUUGCAUGUUUACAAGGCGAUGUGUUUAGGCAGGGGGGUGCCGAAGAAAAAGGGGAUGCCGAGGGUGACACAAAACUUGCAUGUCGCAGGAAAAUUACCAAAGACCAUGAGACUUGGUAAGAUGCGGAAGGGCGCUACCAUGAAUCUUGCAUGUCGCAAGAAAAUUACUGAAAGGCAUGUGGGUGCCGAAGAUGCAAGACUUGUAUAUCACAAAAGAAAGCGCGUAGGAACGAGAGUGCCGAUAAUAUAAAAACUUGCAUGUCACAAAUGUUGUGCUUCCUCUGGGUCUUCAAUAACAGAGUUUUUUUUUUUUUUUUUUUUUGGGGUCUCUAUCCGUUUCGGCCCGAUGCUUGCCGUUCGGCAAGCAGGCCAAGUUUGUUUCGGCAAGGCCUAGGGUUUGAGCAUAGGUAUUUAUGAGCUAUCAUUGUGUUUCAGCAUACCUUUGGCUUACAACAAUUUUGGUGAGCUCAUUUGGAAAGGAGGAGUCUCGAGCGAAGUCGGUUUUCUUGCCACCAACUUCGGUAGCGCAGGUCCUACCGUUCGACAGGGAGACUAGGAGGAAUUCUAGUGCUCUCCAUCCAAUAUUCCUUUUGCAGGUGGCAAGGUGAAAAAGUUUCGGCAUGCCCCGGUUGGGGUACGACAAUUGUCGUGAACAUGCAUGUUGAAGAGUUGCUGGUAGUCCCUAUCGAUCGGCAAGGUUAAUCUCUUUCUCAUCGGCAAGGGGUGGUUGGGCACUUGAAGUGUCGGCAAGUACGCACUCCUCAGCAAGGGGGCUUUCGAAGGCUUUGGCAAGUGGGAUGUGUGCCUAGUGAAUGGUAUUGGAUCUUCUGCAGAGCCUGGGUCUUCUAAGAGGCAAGGUUUCGACAGGACUAUCAUGGUGGUUUGAGCCUGGGUUUUUCGAAGGUUCUGUAAUGAGCUCAAGUCGGCAGCAUAGCCUUGCUGAACGACAAGGAUGACUUGGGAGCGUUUUGGAUGGUGUCUUUGCUCAGGUGAUCUAUGUUCUUGAUCAGCGGGCACGAGUGAAGGUCAACGCAAUCUGUGGGUUGGAGUAAGGGCCUGGCAGGUCUGCUUCAGUAUGUUUUGGGGCUGGCCUUAUGAGCUGGGCUGCGGAAGAGGGGUUAGGCAAGGUCUAGUUGAAAUGAGGUUUUAUCCAAGGAGGCUAUACGUUCACGGGCGCCCCGUGAGCUUCUGCACGACCCUUGCCGUUCGGCAAGGGUGUUUUGAUGAUUUUUGUUGGCCUAUUUGGGUGCAACACUCUUGUCGUUCGACAGGGAGUUGAGGAAAUGAGUUAUGAGCGCUGAUUCAGAAGAGACCGAGAUAUAUUGGAGCUAGGCUUCAGCACAUCUUCGGCUUCAGCAUGUCGGGUUCCCUUUGUCAUGUAGUUCAACAAUGGGGCCUUGCUGUUCGGCAUAGGUGGAUUUGUGCCAUCUAUGCGAUAGGCUCUUCAUAUGCUGAACUCCUCAUCUGUACUGUCGUUCAAUAAUGGGAUCUUUUGAGCUUAGAGUAACAGUUGGAAUGACAUUGACGUUCGGUGCGAUGGGCUCUUCAUAUGCUAAACCCUUAUUCAUAUGCAAUAUUCAUGAAUCAUAUUGUUGAAUAGGAUUGUGCAAUGAAUUAUUUAAAUAUUGCAUGCUUGUAUACAAUAUUUAUAUGUAAGAGGAGAAAUCUUACCUUGUGAUGAGGAUACAUAUGGGCAUCCUUCAGAGUUGAGCAAUUUUUCCUUGGCCAUGCGCAAGCCAUGUAUGGUGAUAUCCUUGGUGCAUGUGGAAUAUUUGGCCGUUUCCAAAUUGACUCUUUCAACGUGAUUGAAAGGUGGUUCCUUGGGCUGAAAUGGUGGAUUUCUCUUUUUGGCCAUGCAAGGCGAGGUGUCGAAGGCAUCGCUCACUUCAGAGAGGCCUGCCAAAGGCAUCGCAUGCGCCACAUGAUGACGAGGUGCCGAAAGUAUCACUCACGCUGAAUGACGACGAAGUGCCAAAGGCAUCGCUCGCGUCGAAUGAUGAUGAGGUGCAGAAAGGCAUCGCUCGAGCAAAAUGACGACGGGGUGCCGAAAGCAUCGCUCGCGUCAAAUGAUGGCGGGGUACCGAAGGCAGCGCCGAAUGAUGAAGUUUGUAGAACAAGCUCAAGUCCCCAUAUUUUUACUCUUCAAAGACGUGCCGAACAGCACUUUGAAUUGAGAUGGUAGUUUGGCCAUACAAGCUAUGCAAGCCAUGCAAAAUGAUAGCCAUACUCUGACUGGCUUUUCCUUAAAAUAUCAUAUUUUGCAAUUUGUUGCCUUAUGCAAUUUGUUGCUCUAGUAAGGUAUUGCUGAACCACUUAGGUGAUGUUGAUUGUAUGGGUGCCCAAGGGCACUGAUGAAUGGGAGAACGACAUAAGCUUUUUGGGAGGGUCAACUUAGAUAGAAGUGAAAUGGUGGAUGAUGUGUGAAGAUGUGGGCUUUUAGUAUGUGUGUGAAGAUUUGGGUAAGCGAUAAAUAUAAAGAAGAUGAGAUAUACGUGAUUCACCCUUAAUGAAUGGGCUACGUCCAUGGAGAAGUAUGUUCUCAUUAUAAUAAUAUAUGAUUACAUUUGUAUAUGAGGUUGGACCCAAAUAUAAAGAUAAGAAGGGGUAAGCCCAUGAUUAAAGAUAAAGCCCAAUCCAGGGAUCCAGAAGAGAGUCCCUCUCUCAGGGAAGAGUAGUCUUCUUUUAUAGGUGAAGGGGAGUCUCCAUCUCUUGUAGUUUUUCGAUGUGAGACUCCUCUUGCUUUGCUUAGAGUUGUAAUUGUGGUAAUGCUUCUUUGGAUAAGGUGAUGACCUCUCAAGGCAUGACACGUGGAUCAUCUAGCCUAGCUAGUUGCUCAGUCAGUUACGGUACCAACAAUAUUAAAACAAACAUAAUUAAUUUACAUUGCAUCCUGGGUCACAAAGAAUCUCAUAUUAUACUUAACCAAAAUAAUGUAAUAUGUAGGAUAAACUAAUAAACUUCUCAUUUUGUUUACAUAUGUUAUAAAUUAAGUUAAUUUUUUCAAUAAUUUCUAAUCUUAAUUUGGGAUAGAAGUCAUACAUUUUGAUAAGAUUUUUUUUUUUUUUAAGACUUAGAAAAAAAUAUUAAAAAACAUUUCUAUAAAAAAAUAAAAAUAAAGCCUAGCAUGUUAAGCCCAUAGUAGUCCUCUCCGGCCAAUUAGGCCUGUCUAGGCCUAACCGGCCUUUGAAACCUUGGUCCAGCCUGCCCCGUAUCCAACUAGAACCCAAAAAUUUCGGAUCGGGCUGACGAACUAUACCUCAGGAUACUUAAAAAUGUUUUUGGCACCCAUUAUAUUCUUCUAUGGUGUUUAAUUAAUUUCUUUUUAAAAUUAUGAGUACUUUUUGAACCCAUUAUUUCUCUAUUUAUUUCGAUCUUCAUAGGAUCUAGAGGGCUAAAUAGCUAUUGUAAAGCAACAAUUCCCUUUAUUUUUUAUUUUAAAAAAGAUUCUCUAUCAAAUAAAAUACUUAUGAUAAGAGAAAAUCUGUUUCCAAGGACAUAAUCUAAAAGUUAAAUAUUGACAAACAAAAAAAUCUAAAAAUCUAAAAAGUUAAAUGUUGAAUUUGAUAUUUAAUGUCAAGCUUCAUUAAUUUAUUAGGAGGACAUCUACAUAAAAACGUGGCUUAUAGAUAAGAAAGGAGCCUCAAAUACCGCAUCAGCUCUUAUUUUAGUGUAAGAUAUUUUACUACAUUUUAUUAUGGCCUUGUUCAAUUGCAUGCUUGCAACGAGAGAUUGCCAUUACAAGAUUACACAAACAGAUAUAGUACCGACAUUGUUGUCCAAACAUCCGGGCCUGAUACGGCUGUACGUCCUACCAUUCAUUUUAGCUAAGCCCUUCAAGUAGUCAACGUCCUCUUCCGAAAUCUUAGCUCUGAUUUUAACGAGGCGUGGGUCGUUCUGAUCAAUUCUUUUGUUGGAGUUGACAAAUCCCUUCAAGUAGUCAAAGUCCUCCACAGAGAUCUUAGCUUGAAUUUUAGCGAUGCGCGAUUCGUCCACAUUAAAUGUUUAACAAGGAAUUCAAGGCUUGUUUUGUAAGUUCUGUAUUUUUUUCCGAUCAAUGGAGAAGGAAAGGGAGCUCUUCUAACGGUGAGAAGAGCAAUGCAACUUGGUUGAUA
rnacentral:lncRNA from 1 species